ACUUUGGGUUUCAGAUGAUUAUGUUCAGAAUUCGAGCCAAAGCUUCGAUCCUGUGUUCUGAGAUGCACAACUUGCCAGUCGUGUCUGCAUCAUGUGCAUCAUAGCAUGUUUAUUUUCAAAAGAAAUGCAACAACAAAAAUUUUGAAAAAAAAGAAAAAAAAAGAAAAACUAAUCCCUGCAUGCAUAUCAUUUCUCAGGUACAUUCCAG
rnacentral:lncRNA from 1 species